rnacentral:piRNA from 1 species
UCUUUGAAACAGGGGUGCAUUAUCAUGUC